rnacentral:rRNA from 1 species
ACCUGGUUGAUCCUGCCAGUAGUCAUAUGCUUGUCUUAAAGAUUAAGCCAUGCAUGUCUAAGUUCAGCACGAGAUACGGCGAAACUGCGAAUGGCUCAUUAAAUCAGUAAUAAUUGACUUGGCGGCACCUUCUCUUACUCGGAUAACUGUAGUAAUUCUAGAGCUAAUACGUGCGCUUAGACCACUACUUGUAGUAGUGCACUUGUUAGGUACCAACACCAAUGCUUCGGCGAAGGUGAUUCUAGACAAGAAGGCGAGUGCAUAGCUUUACGCUGGCACCACGCUAGCCAAGUUUCUGCCCUAUCAGCUUGUUGGUAGCGUAAGGGGCUACCAAGGCGAUAACGGGUGACGGGGAAUUAGGGUUCGAUUCCGGAGAGGGAGCCUGAGAGACGGCUACCACUUCCAAGGAAGGCAGCAGGCGCGCAAAUUACCCAAUGUCGAUUCGGCGAGGUAGUGACAAUAAAUAAUGAUCCCGCUACCCUAGUGGUAGAGGGAAUCGGAAUGAGUACAACGUAAAUACCUUAACAAGGAACAAUUGGAGGACAAGUCUGGUGCCAGCACCCGCGGUAAUUCCAGCUCCAAUAGCGUAUAUUAAAAUUGUUGCAGUUAAAAAGCUCGUAGUUGGAUUUCUGCUAGUGUGCGUGUCGGUAACCUUCCUGUUAAAAAUAGCAGGAGGCCCGACUAACACGCUAGCAAGUUGACUGUUACUGGGUGCUCCUCUUAAUUGAUGGGGUGCUCAGCCAGUCCGAUUACCUUGAACAAAUUAGAGUGUUUAAAGCAGGCGGCUCGCUGCCUAUAUAGAUUAGCAUGGGAUAAUGGAAUAGGACAUAGUACCGAGUCCAUUGGUCAGCUUGUACUGUGUAAUGGUUAAUAGAGAAUGUCGGGGCUGUUAGGAUUCAGCGGCUAGAGGUGAAAUUCUUAGACCCGCUGAGGACUACCAGAAGCGAAAGCGUUCAGCAAGGGCACUCCCAUUAAUCAAGAACGAAAGUUAGGGGAUCGAAGACGAUCAGAUACCGUCGUAGUCUUAACUAUAAACGAUAUGGAUUAAUUAUUAACAGGCGUUAAUACGUACGACCCCGCUAGCGAUUGCCGGGAAACCGUUAAAUCAUCGCGUUCCGGGGGGAGUAUGGUCGCAAGGCUGAAACUUAAAGGAAUUGACGGAAGGGCACACCAGGAGUGGAGCCUGCGGCUUAAUUUGACUCAACACGGGGAAACUUACUAGGUCCAAACAUAGCGAGGAUUGACAGAUUGAUAGUUCUUUCUUAAUUUCUAUGGGUGGUGGUGCAUGGCCGUUCUUAGUUGGUGGAGUGAUUUGUCUGGUUGAUUCCGAUAACGAACGAGAUCGUUGCCUAUUAACUAGACGCUACUAGUCGUCUAUACGGGUGAAGCUAGCUUGCUUCUGUUAGCGGGGCAACCCAUUAGCAGGACUGGUUAGUGGAUCCUUGAUGCACUGGAGCGAGCUUCUUAAAGGGACUGUUGGUGACUAACCAAAGGAAGUGACGGCAAUAACAGGUCUGUGAUGCCCUUAGAUGUCCUAGGCUGCACGCGCGCUACACUGUCUGGUGCAAUGAGCUUAAGAUUGCUAAUCCAAUAGGACCGGCAACUCUUAUCAGAGCUUGACGUGAUUGGGAUUGACCACUGAAACUGUGGUCAUCAACGAGGAAUUCCUAGUAGGCGCAGUUCAACAAACUGCGCCGACUACGUCCCUGCCCUUUGUACACACCGCCCGUCGCUCCUACCGAUUGAAUGAUCCGGUGAAAUCUGCAGAGCCUAGGCCCUUGGGUCAGUGGCGAAGUUGAGUAAACCAUAUCAUUUAGAGGAAGGAGAAGUCGUAACAAGGUUUCCGUAGGUGAACCUGCRGAAGGAUCA